rnacentral:rRNA from 1 species
CCUACGGGUGGCAGCAGUGGGGGAUAUUGCACAAUGGGGGGAACCCUGAUGCAGCGACGCCGCGUGGGUGAAGGAGUGCUUCGGCAUGUAAAGCCCUAUCGGCAGGGAAGAAGCAAGACGGUACCUGACUAAGAAGCCCCUGAUAAAUACGUGCCAGCAGCCGCGGUAAUACGUAGGUGGCGAGCGUUCUCCGGAUUCACUGGGUGUAAAGGGAGCGUAGACGGCCAUGCAAGCCAGGGGUGAAAGCCCGGGGCCCAAGCCCGGGACUGCCGUUGGAACUGCAUGGCUGGAGUGCGGGAGGGGCAGGCGGAAUGCCGGGGGUAGAGGGGAAAUGCGUAGAUAUCAGGAGGAACACCGGCGGCGAAGGCGGCCUGCUGGACCGCGACUGACGUUGAGGCUCGAAAGCGUGGGGAGCGAACAGGAGUAGAUACCCCUGUAGUC